GAUAUAACCAAAACGAUCAGAAGAAGAUGGCGACGGAUGUAAACAUGAUCAACAUCAAAGUCGUAUUUUUUUUGUGGAUAAAAUCACUAAACUGUUAGUUACUCGGUGUUCUGGCUGUUUCAUCCUUUCUUUUUGAUUAAUUAAUCAUUUCAUUAAUUUAAAAGAAAAGAAAGUUGAGUUUCGGAAGAAUUUAUUGAAAGAUGUUUUGGCUGUGGAUUAUUGCCUUAUUGGCGAGUGCCGAUUCCGCUGCUGCUUCGAAUGGGUUCGAUUUCGGUGACACUUUAGCAUUAAUUAUUGGGCUUAUUAUUGGGAUCGUCGGGUUUUUCGCGUGCAUGGGGGCUUAUGCACGGAGGAGGAGUCGAUUUGAUUCGAUUUAAAGAUUCGUUGUUUUCUGACAAUUGACAAGUUGAUUUUGGGUGCUGAAGAAGAUGAAUUUUAAAGGAUAUCAAGAGGAUAAAAAAAAGUUUAUGCUAUUCUCAAUUCAUUGGAGAGUACCCAUCAUAAUCAACUUUUGAGGAACAAAUAUCAAGUUAAAAAUACGAAGCAAUCUAAAUAUUAUAUUUUUCAUGGAAUAAAAGAGCCUUAAGGAAUAACGAAUAAUCUGUCUGUAACAAUAUGGAAUAAACAGCGACCUUUAUUUUA